GAUGAACGCUGGCGGCGUGCCUAAUACAUGCAAGUCGAGCGAACAGACGAGGAGCUUGCUCCUCUGACGUUAGCGGCGGACGGGUGAGUAACACGUGGAUAACCUACCUAUAAGACUGGGAUAACUUCGGGAAACCGGAGCUAAUACCGGAUAAUAUAUUGAACCGCAUGGUUCAAUAGUGAAAGACGGUUUUGCUGUCACUUAUAGAUGGAUCCGCGCCGCAUUAGCUAGUUGGUAAGGUAACAGCUUACCAAGGCAACGAUGCGUAGCCGACCUGAGCGGGUGAUCGCCCACACUGGAACGUAGACACGGUCCAGACUCCUACGGGAGGGAGCAGUAGGGAAUCGUCCGCAGUGGGGGAAAGCCUGACGGAGCAACGCCGCGUGAGUGAUGAAGGUCUUCGGAUCGUAAAACUCUGUUAUUGGGGAAGAACAAAUGUGUAAGUAACUAUGCACGUCUUGACGGUACCUAAUCAGAAAGCCACGGCUAACUACGUG
rnacentral:rRNA from 1 species